rnacentral:ncRNA from 2 species
GUAAAACAUUCAGGAGAGCGUGCCUGUCUGUAUUAAGUGGCACCACCGAAGGCGUAAACACCCUACAAUCGCUCAGGUAAAUGGGACUGAAAUGUUUGU